rnacentral:SRP_RNA from 1 species
UCGUGCAGCCGGGGCGUUAGCGGUGCCUUGUACCUGCAAUCCGCUAUAGCAGGGGUGAUGUUACGCAGAGGGCUUGGUUUUGUAAAGCAGCCUUUGGUAAGUGGCGUUUAUGACUUUGGUCUCACGCGACGGAAAUCUAUGAAUCGUGUCAGGGUAGGAAUACAGCAGCACUAAGUAGAACCUUCCGGGUGCCGUGAGGGUGCCGGGGUCCAGUCAACUGCCAAAGAAACGUUUAUGAACUCAUUUUCGAAGCGUAACGCACGA